UAGGGAAUCUUCGGCAAUGGACGGAAGUCUGACCGAGCAACGCCGCGUGAGUGUAGAAGGUUUUCGGAUCGUAAAGCUCUGUUGUUUGAGAAGAACGUUGGUAGGAGUGGAAAAUCUACCAAGUGACGGUAACUAACCAGAAAGGGACGGCUAACUACGUGCCAGCAGCCGCGGUAAUACGGAGGUCCCGAGCGUUGUCCGGAUUUAUUGGGCGUAAAGCGAGCGCAGGCGGUUCUUUAAGUCUGAAGUUAAAGGCAGUGGCUUAACCAUUGUACGCUUUGGAAACUGGAGGACUUGAGUGCAGAAGGGGAGAGUGGAAUUCCAUGUGUAGCGGUGAAAUGCGUAGAUAUAUGGAGGAACACCGGUGGCGAAAGCGGCUCUCUGGUCUGUAACUGACGCUGAGGCUCGAAAGCGUGGGGAGCAAACAGG
rnacentral:rRNA from 1 species